rnacentral:rRNA from 1 species
UACGUAGGGUGCGAGCGUUAAUCGGAAUUACUGGGCGUAAAGCGUGCGCAGGCGGUUCGUUAAGUCAGCUGUGAAAGCCCCGGGCUCAACCUGGGAAUUGCGGUUGAAACUGGCGGACUAGAAUCUGGCAGAGGGGGGUGGAAUUCCACGUGUAGCAGUGAAAUGCGUAGAGAUGUGGAGGAAUACGAUGGCGAAGGCAGCCCCUGGGAUAACACUGACGCUCAUGCACGAAGCGUGGGGAGCAACAGGAA